rnacentral:rRNA from 1 species
GAUGAACGCUGGCGGCGUGCCUAAUACAAGCAAGUCGAGCGAACAGACGAGGAGCUUGCUCCUCUGACGUUAGCGGCGGACGGGUGAGUAACACGUGGAUAACCUACCUAUAAGACUGGGAUAACUUCGGGAAACCGGAGCUAAUACCGGGUAAUAUAUUGAACCGCAUGGUUCAAUAGUGAAAGACGGUUUUGCUGUCACUUAUAGAUGGAUCCGCGCCGCAUUAGCUAGUUGGUAAGGUAACGGCUUACCAAGGCAACGAUGCGUAGCCGACCUGAGAGGGUGAUCGGCCACACUGGAACUGAGACACGGUCCAGACUCCUACGGGAGGCAGCAGUAGGGAAUCUUCCGCAAUGGGCGAAAGCCUGACGGAGCAACGCCGCGUGAGUGAUGAAGGUCUUCGGAUCGUAAAACUCUGUUAUUAGGGAAGAACAAAUGUGUAAGUAACUAUGCACGUCUUGACGGUACCUAAUCAGAAAGCCACGGCUAACUACGUG